rnacentral:lncRNA from 1 species
UCCACAUGGAUGUACCCAAGCUGCUGGGUCCUUCUGCUCUGUCCCAAUUCCUUGUGCUGCAGAUGUCCUGCAGGUGUGCUCAAGGCACUGUGGCAUUCAGCCUGAGAUGCUGGAGAAAUGCUGGGGCACUCAACAAGAGAUGUGCAAAGUAAGAGAGGCUGGCAUGGACUGAGCAAGCAAGGACUGAGGCUGCAGCUAAGUAAUUUCAGAGAGAAACGCAUCUUGGUGGGGAUCACCUGACAUUUUCUUCAGAUACCUUAGAAGGGGAAACAAAAUGUAAAACAUCCCUAUCUUGUUGUAUGUCAUUUUUUUAAAGUGACAGCUGAUUACGUUUUAGGGAUGUUUUCUCAUUUUCUGAAUUAAAUCAGUUUGGCAUUCUGUAGCAGAUAGUACUCAUUAACCUUUUAAGGAUUGCCAAACUGCUUUGAAGCAUUUGUGGAAAAAUGAAGAAAGAAAAAAAAAAAAGAAAAGAAAAAAGUUAAACAUCACAGACAUAACCUGGUGCUUUUUGAAGCUACAGUCAGCAAGGACCUGGUCUUCUCCUUGUAGUAACUUAAUAGGUGUGACGCUUGUUUGUGUUCUGUUUAAGUAGGCUUGAAGAGGGUACUGUCUAUGAACAAAACUUGUGACAUACAUGUAUGUAUGAAUUAUAUUUAUUACCUGAACAGACUUUGAUGUUUACAUUGAUUCAAAUUUUUGUAAUUAAUGACUUCAUAUUUAUUCUUCCAGAUGACGGGAAUAGAAAAUGAAAGUUUUCUUUCUAAGCCUCAGUGAACAUGCACAGCAGAAGCCAGGAAGAAAAGAACGGCUUGAUUUUAAAUCACCACUGUGACAAAUUUGGGGAUCUAAGUUACUGGAGAUAUGAAUUAUUUUGGUUACGCUUACAACCUGUCAUGCAUUUCAGUCUGCAUUUCUUCUCAGCCUUCAGUGACUGUGGCACGACAAUUAGCUUCAUUAUCUGCAGUGGGACACAAGAUGCAGCUUCUGCAUUUCCACAUCAAGACACCAACAGUCAGUGCCUUGAUCCAACAUGUUCUGUUCAACGACAGCUUGCAAGAUGGGAUCUUAUCUCACACACAGUUAUAUGAGUUAUUUAAGCAGAUUGACAAAUAGACAUGCUUCUGUAUUAAUGAGUGGUAAGUAAAUUGAGUCAUAAAAGAAAGUUUUUUGAAAUUUAAGUGGGAGUAGCAGAACUCUAUUUGUAAAAAUUGUUCCAUCGCAGUGGGUGAUCUGCUGUCCAGGUAAGAAGAAUGAAUAGAUCUUUUAUUUUAAACA